CCUUAUUCCUAGACUGUUGGGACGAACACUUCCAAAAUCAAUCCCAAUCUUUCUUUUAUGGUCAUAAACCUUGUAUUUAAAUUUUGUAGAUUUCUAUUUACUUAUACUAAAGUUAUGGUGCGAAAACCAAGAAAAAUGCUUAUUUGGGCCCUUUUUGGCCCCUAAUUCCUAAACUGUUGGGAUCUCAACUCCCAAAAUCAAUCCCAACCUUCCUUUUGUGUUGAUAAACCUUGUGUUUAAAUUUCAAUGAUUUCUAUUUACUUAUACUAAAGUUAUUGUGCGAAAACCAAGAAAAAUGCUUAUUUGGGUCCUUUUUUGGCCCUUAAUUCCUAAACAGUUGGAACCAAAACACCCAAAAUCAAUCCCAACCUUCCUUUUGUGGUCAUAAACUUUGUGUCAAAAUAUCAUGGAUUUCUAUUUACUUAACCUAAAGUUAUAGUGCGAAAACCUAGAAAAUGCUUAUUUGGGCCCGUUUUGGCCCCUAAUUCCUAAACAGUUGGAACCAAAACACCAAAAAUCAAUCCCAACCUUCCUUUUAUGGUCAUAAACCUUGUGUUUAAAUUUCAUACAUUUCUAUUUACUUAAACUAAAGUUAUAGUGCAAAAACCAAAAGUAUUCGGACUAUGACGAUGACGACGACGCCAACUUUGGCG
rnacentral:lncRNA from 1 species